GUCUUUACCAGCUUUGUGUGUGUAUUUUUUCAUCUUUAUAUUUCAGUAAGAAAAGUUUAUGAUCAAAAACAAACAAAAAAUGCCUUGUGAUCUGAUCUCCCCCUGACUGGCCUACAUGCUGGGGAAUCCUCUGAGUCUUCCAUCUGUGCCACAGGGUGACCAGCCUCGAUUUCAUAUAGGAGGGCUGUGAAGGUGUGAUGGGUCAUGUGGGCAGACAUGAAGAGAAGCCAUCGGCCCUAAGAACAGGCCGGGUCCACGCCAGACACAGGAGCAGGCAUCCAGUGGACCAGGAAGGAAUGCUGAGGAUGGAGGAAAGCUGCUCCUGCCCUUAAAUUCUCUGUGGGCUUGAGA
rnacentral:lncRNA from 1 species